GCCCUGGUCCAGGAAGAUCCCACAUGCCGCGGAGCAACUAAGCCCGUGCACCACAACUACUGAGCCUGCGCUCUAGAGCCCACGGGCCGCGACUACUGAAGCCCACAUGCCACAACUACUGAAGCCCGUGCUCCUAGAGCCUGUGCUCUGCAGCAAGAGAAGCCACCACAACGAGAAGCCCACGCACCACAAUAAAGAGUAGCUCCCACUCGCUGCAACUAGAGAAAGCCUGCGCACAGCAAGAAGACCCAACGCAGCCAAAAAUAAAUAAUAACCAGGAGGCCAACUCAACACUGCUCAGUUCCAGAGACUCAGGGACAAAACCCAGGGUCUGAGACUGGAGGACUAAGCAUCAAGUUUAUUAACUAGAAUUGGAAGAACCGAGGAGUUCUUGGAACAAGAACUAUCCCCCUCCCCCACCAACACGGAAGACAGAAGAGUGGGGGAGGGGAGACGUGCCCCAGGAAUGACAGUCCAGUCUCUCAAGUUUCACCCAGGUGGGGGUUGAGGGGCAGACCUGCAGCCACGGUGGCCUCGCUUUCGGUCGCCCGGGCUGCUCCGGACCAUCCUCUGAGCUGGCCAGGGUCUUGGAUACGAUGCUUCUGAAGGCCGUGCAGAGAACACACUCCUCUUCCCCUGCACCGGGCCCCAGGGAGCGCGGCGGCCUGACCUUCCUGCCUCGGUCAUCCAUGGGGUUCACAUGGGCUCACUUUAUUAUGACGCCUCAUGCUGGGCAGCUUGCAACAAAGAUGUUUCAAAAUAAAGUUCCAGAUUCUCCCAGCCACCCCUUGCUUUUUCUGGCUCUGGCCAGAGAGAGUGGAUGAGGACACACUCUCAGGCUGCCCAGCGUGGGAGGACCCUCCAGUGUUGGACACACCCAGGGGGCAGCUGCUUCCCUCUGGGGCUCCAAUCCUGCUGCUGCUGCUGGAGGUGGAUGUCCCAGUGCCACACUGGGGGGCUGGGCUGGGGGUGGCAGUCCUCGACUCCAGGCUGGGUGGGGG